rnacentral:snRNA from 1 species
AUUGCUUCUUGGCCUUUUGGCUAAGAUCAAGUGUGGUACUUGUUGCAUUUCCAACUUACGUGUCAUGUCACAAAAGGGCUACAAUCAUUUUCCUGAUGUAAAGUCCCCAUGAUGUCAUAUCAUGCAAAGGAAAUAAAAUAUAAGCAGCUCUAAUCUUCCUUUCCAGCCUGCU